AUACAGAGGGUGCAAGCGUUAAUCGGAAUUACUGGGCGUAAAGGGCGCGUAGGUGGUUAGUUUAGUCAGAUGUUAAAUCCCCGAGCUUAACUUGGGAAUUGCAUCUGAUACUGGCUAACUAGAGUACAGUAGAGGGAAGUGGAAUUUCCGGUGUAGCGGUGAAAUGCGUAGAUAUCGGAAGGAACACCAGUGGCGAAGGCGACUUCCUGGACUGAAACUGACACUGAGGCGCGAAAGCGUGGGGAGCAAACAGGAUUAGAUACCCCGGUAGUCC
rnacentral:rRNA from 1 species